GUAUCUGUUCAAGUGGAGAUAAUCCAUGCAAAUCAGGAGCCGUGGCUCUCAAUGCCUGGUUCACAGAGAGGACUCAGCUUGAGGAGGUCACUCGUUCACAGCCGCUCCUCCCAUUAUAUUUUUCCCCUUAUUGCAGAACUGCUGUAUGUAUACAGUGACUGAAAGGACUCAAUUUACUGCAACUGCUGCCUGGCUUUACUUACAACUUUUUUUUUUUAAUAUAAAGGAACUUACCUCCAUCUGUCUUUUCAAGUUUCAGGGUAGAAAGGGUCCCUUUAACUCCUGAAGACAGUAAAUCACAGUCUGUGUGGUGGUUCUCAGAAGACACUUAAAGGACUGAACUGGAUGCUCUACAUAGCACCCUUGCCAAAAGGUUUCGGAAAUGACUUCCAGCUUCCCACAGUAAUAAAAUGGCACUGUUUGGCAUCUUCGAGGUAACAGACCACUUACUCUAAACUUCACAAACGGUUCUGAAGAGAAUGGAGCCUACGUAGACUCAUAAGGACAAGAACGCAUCAUAAUGGACUUGAUAAUAAAACACUAGUAGACAUGCUGUGUGCCAUGCCCAUCUGAGUUAGAGCUUUUAGCGUGGUUAAUUGAUACAGUUACUCCAGAACAAGUCUAUAAGGCAUUUUGUAUGGCUCUAAGUUUUAAAAGCCGCUCUUUAUCCUUUUAACAGGACUGCCUAUUCUUUGCACAUACCUCAUUAUCAUUUACCUUUACAUGAGGGGUGGCAUAUAAUUACUGCCUUGUAAAUAGUUUCUUUUGCAAUAUCCAUGAUAUUCAAAGACAGCAGAGUUCAAAAAGGUCCAGGGGAAGAGAAGGCUGUAGUCUUCAGAGAAUGACAAAUAGCCACCAGGGAGAGAAAAAAAAAAGGAAAAGAAAAAGGAAUACUUGACAAAGUGCAUGACCACUAAGAAUCAGUCGCCCACUGUUCCACCAUCAAGUGUCACUCAUGCUAUUGGUGGCAUUGUCCAAGUGAUACUGUGCUGUCGGUGGUCACAUAUUUCAGCUACAUCGUUUGGAUCUACUGUAUUGUUUGUGAAAUUAUUCACUAUUAAGAUGACAGCCUCAAAUAUAACUAUUUGAUUUCCUAUAGUUACAAAUAUUUCACGCAACAUAGAAGCAAUAAUUCUUUCAAUAGAAAGCUAAUCAGCAGUGUCAACACCUUGACAAUUUACUGAGUUGAGAUCUUUUUACAUUUGGAUUUUGAGAAUGCUUGUAUAUUAUUUUUAGAGAACUGUAUAAAUUAGAUAUCAGAAAUUAAUUACCAUUUUGAAUAUAUGGCACACAAUUUUGUUAUCAUAAGAUAAUAUAUAAAUGAAGUAAAAGAAGCUAACUUGUAUUUUGGAUCUGUUUGCUACUUUAAAUAUUUAAUUGUGUUCCAUGUUUAGAGAGGAAAAAAUGUUCUCCAUUCAGAAAAAUUUUGUUUUUAAGCUACAAGUGUUAAGACUAUCGUUCUUGCUAAUCCAGAUUUUUCAUUAUUGAAAUCAUAGUAUAAACUAAUAUUAAAAAUGAAACAUUUUUUAGAUCCUGCAAAUGUUGGUGCACUAACUCCUAGUGAGUUUUAUGUCUCUAUAACGGUAUUUAUAGUGCUUUUGUGUCACUGAACUUAGGGAAAUGUUGUUUCAUUGUUUAGCUCUGCUAUCUUUUGUUAUUUUGCACCAUUGCUUUGUUUAUAGUACCAAAGAAUAAACGGUAUACUAAUCGCUUUGGUCCAAACAAAGAGAAAUGAAAAUCUCAGCAUCUGCCUGAAAGAUAAUCAUCCAUCCUACAGAAAUCCAUCAUUAUACCUUGUGGUACACACACUUUGGUCACCUGAAAUAUGCCAGAUACUGGGCUAAGCAACAAAAAUGAAAAUUUUAAAACAGCAAUUAUUUCAAAAAAGUGAAGAAAGACCAAUUAACCAAUAUUUACUAUAAAAUAUGAAAGAUCUUAUAAAUGAGAAAGAUAUAGUAUAUCACAUGUGUAUACGUGUAAUGUGUCAGAGAAGUAUUGCUAAAGUAAUCUACAAGAAGCCAGAAGAUAGAAUGCCUCAGAGAAGACCAUUAUGUCUGCUUUGUCUAAUGGCAAAAUAUUACAUGGCCUAAGCCGACCGUCAGUAUUGUCAGGUCCAAGGGUCUGGGUUCAAUUUCAUUCCUUUAAUCCCAGAUGAAUUAUGUGGCAAUUCAUGCCUCAAUUUCCCAGCCAACAAAAGGUAUACAGUUAUUUCCAAAUAUGUCUGAUUUUCAUCAUAUCAAAGUAUAGGCUGAAGGUACAGGUUAAAUAAAUUCCGUUUCCUGCAGUUUUACAGGAUUUUGACUAGACCGUGGCAUUUCAGCAGGGACAGCACAAUUUGAGGUCUCAUGAUGCCCAGCUUGACCCUGCUCAACUGACUGUCCUGUACAUAUCUGUCAGGUUUGCAUCAAAGAAGUGUUCUCUCUAUUAUGCGUAUGCCAGACCUUGUAUAAGCACCUCUUAGCCUCACAUUUUGAUUAAAUCUGGAGUUUCUCUAACUCAGUCUAAACCUAGCAACUACCUACAUUAAAAGACAAAAGCAACCCAGUGAUAAGUACAAGACAUGUAAUGACAUAUAACAUCACACACACACACACACACACACACACACACACACUCACACACAUACACACACCAUGUCUUUUUGUUUUCAAUUGAUAAUAUGGCUCAUGGGGCUACAAGUCUGUUCAUUUUAAUUCCUAGCCAACUCCAGAAGUCAUAAAAAUGCGUAAUCUGAAAUUAAACUCAAUUAAACCACAUUGUUUCUUUAGAAAGUUAAAAGGAAAAUACACAUAAGUAAUAGAAAUCAAUUAUUGUAUAUUCCCAGGCCUGUUCUUAUAAACUGAAGAGGUAAUCAAUCACUCUAGAGAUUUCUACAAGGUAAUUACUGUUUAUUCUUUAAUGAUAGUGCCGUCUUCCUUUCUUCCUUCACACCAGCCCUUUGCAGCUGCCACCUCUAAGAAAGCAAAUAAGCUACAGUUAAAAAAAAAAAAAAAGCAUGACUGGAAGAAAGUUGGUGUUCUGUGUAAUGUGGACAAUAAGACUGCUGAACUUCAUCCCCUUCUGUGACCUGAGGCUACAAUACUUUAUGGUCCAUGCUGUAUAUACACAUCAUAACUGCCAUUCAGUAAUAAAUGCAGCCACGGCUUUGAGAAGGGGCACUGCUGCAUAGGGAGAAUUAAUGAGAAAUAUCUUUAUUGUGGAUGUUUAGUCAUUUACAGGAGUGAAGUAUGAAAAUGAUCAGCAGCUAAAAAAGAACUUGGACCAAUUAAGAAUUUAAAACAGCUAGCAUCCAACUAAAUCUCGUCUUCCUCUUUAAAAAGACGGGGAGAAAAAUUAAGAGUAAAAAUAAAUGCUACUGCUAUUAUCGAAAGCCAAAAGCACCAACCAGGAGAUUUUACAGCGCUGCAGUCAGAGCCUAGCUAAUGAAUAUAAGUUACCUUAGCCGGUUUUAGCUGACUUUGAAAUUAAAGUCUCAGACCCUUGCAUGCAGAGAGAGCUGGACUUGAGCAAAAUGGGCUUAAUAAACUCCAUUGUGCAGUUAGAUCCCUAGUGAGAUUUCCUGCCCAUCCAUGACCAAUCGGUAUUAUUUUUUCAGUGACUGGUACUUUUGUGAGCAAGAUUGGGGUUUCUGGGAGUGAUUAGCACUUUUCACCCUUGAUUGACAGGUUCAAACAGAAAUGAGACAAUAGGAGGAGUCAUUAGGAAUUCAAAUGUAAGGCUGGUGUUUGCAGGCUUUGGGAUUGAUUUUAAUAGAAAGGAACAAUAUAUGGAAGAAAAUGAAUUAAUGUUAAAAAUGUUAACUUAUGAAGUAUAAAUUAAUCUUAUCAAAUUCAAAAAAAUUCAGAAUUGAAAUCAGUUAAAAAUAAUAUGGAUAGGAAUAGCAAAAUUUUGGAUGUUUUUUUCCAAAUACCUUGUAGACAAUGAAUAUAUUUAGUUCUUUGCUUUAGAUAUUUAAAACUCGAAGAUUUAAAAUUUUAGGGAAAUCCUCAGGAGUGAAAAUUUAGAUUUGGUUUUCUCAAAGAUUGAAAAUCUCAUAGAAACAAGUAAUUAUUGUUUUUCUAGGAAAAAGAAAAUAUGAUGAAGUUCUCCAUUAUAUCUGGGGAAGAUGCCACAGGGAAAUAAUUAUGGUGAAUGAUUCUAGCAUUGACCAGUAAUUGAUAAUUGGCCACAAAUAAUUAGGGUAGUAUCUUCACUGGUGUAAAUUAUGCUAAUAGCUGAGCCUUGUCCCUAGGUGCUGAUAUUGGUUUCUUGUAAGUAGUUUUGUUUUUAAUUCACAUUAUAAAUUUGGCAUACUGUACUUGAAACUUUAAUCUUGUUUGGCAUCAAAACAAAGGCAGAUGAUUCAGAAGCCUAAUCAAAGAAGAAAAAUAAGAUGUACCCCAGUAUUUCUCAGAAUUUUUAAAUAAAAGUUUAUUUCUUAUGGAAAACAAAUUUUCUGUGACAACAACAAAAACAAACCAUGUUUUUAAAAAGUAAGACUAAAGCAGAGCAAAAUGUAUUGUUUGAAGACACCUCAGAAAUUUGAAUGGAAGCCUUUCCGAUAUCUCAUAAGUUGUUAAUGUUUAAAGGAUGAUAGCAUAAAUCCAAUACCCUGUGCACGAAUAAUCACUGCAUCAGAUUUUUAUGCAUAUCCUGUGUGUAGCUCAGCAUUCAAGCUGUAUUUUUGAAUAUGUUGUGACUAAUUUAUGCCAACUUUUCAUCAACCUAGCAUUUUUCAUUUUUCAAUUGACAUACAAAGUUCUGUAAUCUGUGUGCUCAGUAUGUUAAUAUACUGAGAUGGUAAGGGAAAAUCCAAUGCAUCACAAUCACAAAAGUAAACUAUGAGGGAGCCUUGGUGGAAGGAAAAGAUAAAGAAAGCAGUACAAUCCAGUGAGGGGCUAGUGUUAGGUUGGAUGUGGGUUAUUAAUAAACCACACUUUCCACAUCGCGAGAUGGCUUCUGUCCUUUUUUGACCAAUCCACCUAGCACCUGUUUUUCAACUGCCCUCCAGAAUUUUAAAGCAUGCUCUAUCAGUGGUUCUUACGCUUCCCUGCAAUUGGAAUCAUGUGAGAAUGCUUUACAAAUUCUAAGACUUGGCUUCCACUGGACACAUUCUGAUUUCUUGGUGAUUAUCAGCAGUCCAGGAGAUUUUGAUGUGCAACAAAAUUUGAGAACCACUUCUGUAAAUGCUAUCCGCCUCAGUUUUCUCUAAUUUGGUCUGAAAAGACACCAAUGUCUUCUCCUGUACGUGGUUUCUAAAAACGCUUCUCCAUGUUGCAGUCGAUUUCAGGGAACAGCUCCUUGAUCUGCUGCUGUCUUUUCUGAGAAGCAUCGCAUCAACAUACCCAGGGAUUCUGUUAGUCGCUUACAGCCUCUCAUCCACUCUCAACUUCUUUCUUAUUUUCCCUUUCAUACUAUUUGAUCCCCUAAAUUACUGCAGAUCAACUGUUAUCCCUCUGAGUUUUCAGCUCUCAUUCAAUAUCCUUUCUUUAGCUAUUUUGGUGUCUUAUCCACGAGUUUAAGCAUGAAAAAGUUUCCUUUUCAACAUUAUCUAUUUCUUUCCCUUUAUCUAAAAAAAAAAAAAAAAAAAAAAAAAAAAAAAAACACCACAGGCAGGUUCUAUUCCUUUCUUCAAUCUUCAUCCAAGAGCUAAGUUAAGACCUUAGUGAUUUUUUAUCUCAUUAUAGUGGACUUCUGUUUCAGACUCUAAUUUUCUAUCUAUCUCCUCCCAAUAGCUCAUCACUUUCCUAUACAAAAUUCUACUUUCAGACUUCUUGUCAUUUUCCUUACUCAUUGUGAACACCUCGUCAGUGUGAUUCUUAAACACAUCCUAUGCAAUUCAGCUCCUCAUUCUCUUUUCCUACACUCCUUCUGUCCCAAGCUGACCCUAGAUUAUGGGUCUGGAUAGGAGUCAGCCUGUGGACUGACAGCCAUGCUUAAUAAAUGUUUCUGCAGCAAAGGCCUUCUGCAGAGGGUGGUUCUGCAACACGGAUGACCAAGAGCCUCUCUAGAGUUCCUAGAAUUGCUGUAGGCCUUAGAAACACAUGUGUUUUUUAAGCCAUGUUCUUCUUCCUUUCCACAACCCAUUUUAUUCUAAUGCACACAUCUGAUUCUGUACCAGGAUCAUCCAAAGGGCCAAAGAGCCAGGAAGGAAGACCGAAGACUGAUAGUUAUAUACUUCUAUAACUGUUCUGAUUUUCUUUCAAUCAAGUUAUGCAAAUUAUGUACUUAUUUGAACAAUUAUAAAAAGAAUGGCUGCCGCCCUUUGUCUUCCACCUCAAGGGCCUGUUUCCCGCAGAAACUGAGCUUUGUAAAAUCCAUCAUUAUCCCUGCUUCUAUCCCCUGGUGUUCCUGCUCGCCAUUUCCCUUCCCAUCAGAUUCUACCUCCAACUGCUCCCUGUACCCAUCUGUUCCUCUUCCCUUUCUUGUUCUCAUGCCCUUUUUCAAGUUCCACGUUCUCAUUUGCCAGGUCACCACCUUGAAUUUUGUCAACUUCCUCUUGUAAAUUUACUUCUUGCCAUGGCACUUUUCUAUGACAGCUUUUCAAAUAAAUCUUCUUUCAGAGGCAAAGAAACACACACAAAAAUAUUUUUUAAAGUCAAAGAAAUAUAUACCAGUGAGAGAACCCUAUCUUCUUUGUGGGUGAGUUGUAUUUCUGAACUAUUGAACACACAUAUGUGUCACAUGAUGAUGGAUGUCAAGUCCUGGAUGUAGAAACAAGUUCAAAUUAACGUGCAGCAGGAAUAAUUGCUCUAAGAUCAAAGAGCAAAUUUCAGUUGUCACAUAGUGAGCUUAAAAUGUCAAAAAGUGAGUUGAAAGGAUUAAUACAAUUAUUUUUAAUUUGUUAAUUUUAAAUAAAGUCAUUAAUGCACAGAGAUACUUUAUUUAUAGAAAGGAGCAUGGCUUCCCUGAGUUUGGACUUCAGUUUUGGUCAGGUCAGGUUCCAGAUCCUGACUGCAGUUUCACUAGUUGUGUAACCCUCACUUAAAUUUCACCUCUUAUGGUCUGUCUCCUCAGUGGUAACAGCAAGGUAUAAAUCAUAUUUUAUUUCAAGGAUAUUUUUGAAGUCUAAAUGAGAUAAGAUCUGUUAAGCACAUUGCAGGAUUAGAUGUAGGUAGAACUCUGUAAACAGUGGUUGACAUUGUUAUUUGCAUGCUCUAGUAAAUCUACCACCAAAUAUCUGGGUAUAUUUUAUAUAUUUCUUGGGCAGCUCUGAUACUGUUCUUUCUUCAGACCAUCACAAAUCCAUCCCUGGCAUUUAACAUAUCAAUACAAAGACAUUUAUAUUUUCUUGUCAAUACCUUAGCAUUAUUCAUUGUUAUGUAUACUUUGCUCAUUUUUCAUUCAAGGGAUUUUUAAAUGGAAAACAUAUUAAGCUACUCCAUAUGCUUUCAAUAUAAUAUGUCUGGUAUCAGCCUCUGUAGCCACUAGAUGUCAAUACAAUGUUUAUCUGGAAGGUUUAAUAAGGACUCAUUAGUAUCCUAUUUGAUUAAAUAAUGUACUCCCUUUGCAGGGUGUUUUAAUAUUGAAGGGUUUCCAAGAAUUUUGCAGUAAUAUUUAUGGAAUUCACUCCACUAACGGCUGAAAUGCUUCACCUCAUCCAGGUGUAAACAGUUGUUGAAUAGAAACUGUUUUAAGCCUGAAUCAAAUUAAAAUUGUAUAUAGGCAAAGAGAAAUGUAUAUAGGCAGAAUAUAAUUGCCCUGUUUGACUUUUUGCAGGUACUCACCUUGUGGAAACAGCAAUGAGAUCUUUAUUAUUCAAAACUGGAUAAGACGUAAAUUUCAUAUUUCAUUUUAAAGAUAGUAUCUUACCUUCUCAUAGUUAUGACAGUAAUUCAGAGAGAAGAAAUAACCUAAGGUAUUUCUAAAAUCACUUUCUUCAGUAUAUCAGCUAUUUAAUUAGUAACUGGUUUAAAGAUAAUUUAAAAUCCGACCAAAUAUCAGCUUUAGGAAAUUUGGAUAUUUACUUUUCAGUCUCUAACUCUCAACUUACAGUAAAUAACUUUUUCCUGAACAUAGUAAGUAACUUUAUCAUUUUUUGAAGCACCAUACCAGUACAGAGAAAUGUAAUUUAAAUCUUUCCUUUGAAAUUAGGGGGUCAUAACUUAUUUGAAAAUAAACAAUGAAAAAACAUUUUCUUUAUCUGGGGAUGCUACUAGAUGAAUUUUUUUUCCCAAUUCCAGGUUUAUGUGUUUUUUUUCUCUAGAUAUUUAUCAUUGAGCCUAUCUGCUUUUUGCAACCAAAUAAAGAAUGAAAGAACUUGGAAAAUCCACUAGCCUAAAAGAAAUCUUUCAUUUAGGGCGGGUGCAGUGGCUCACACCUGUAAUCCCAGCAUGUUGG